rnacentral:rRNA from 1 species
UUUAACUGAAGAGUUUGAUCAUGGCUCAGAUUGAACGCUGGCGGCAGGCUUAACACAUGCAAGUCGAGCGGAGCGAGGGUGCUUGCACCUUAGCUUAGCGGCGGACGGGUGAGUAAUGCUUAGGAAUCUGCCUAUUAGUGGGGGACAACAUUCCGAAAGGGAUGCUAAUACCGCAUACGCCCUACGGGGGAAAGCAGGGGAUCUUCGGACCUUGCGCUAAUAGAUGAGCCUAAGUCGGAUUAGCUAGUUGGUGGGGUAAAGGCCUA